UUUAGGAAUAUUCGUCAAUGGGGGAAACCCUGAACGAGCAAUGCCGCGUGAGCAAUAAGGUCCACGUGUGGUCCGAUGAGAGUAGCAUACGAAUAAGCAUCGGCUAACUCCGUGCCAGCAGCCGCGGUAAUACGGAGGAUGCAAGCGUUAUCCGGAUUCAUUGGGUUUAAAGGGUGCGUAGGCGGCUUGGUAAGUCAGCGGUGAAAUUCCAGUGCUCAACAUUGGCCGUGCCGUUGAUACUGCUGGGCUUGAAUGCGGAUGCCGUGGGAGGAAUGUGUGGUGUAGCGGUGAAAUGCAUAGAUAUCACACAGAACACCGAUUGCGAAGGCAUCUCACGAAUCCGCAAUUGACGCUGAGGCACGAAAGUGUGGGGAUCAAACAGGAUUAGAUACCCUGGUAGU
rnacentral:rRNA from 1 species